AGUUUGAUCCUGGCUCAGGAUGAACGCUGGCGGCGUGCUUAACACAUGCAAGUCGAACGGUGAAGCAGAGCUUGCUCUGUGGAUCAGUGGCGAACGGGUGAGUAACACGUGAGCAACCUGCCCUGGACUCUGGGAUAAGCGCUGGAAACGGCGUCUAAUACUGGAUAUGAGAUGCGAUCGCAUGGUCGUGUUUGGAAAGAUUUUUCGGUCUGGGAUGGGCUCGCGGCCUAUCAGCUUGUUGGUGAGGUAAUGGCUCACCAAGGCGUCGACGGGUAGCCGGCCUGAGAGGGUGACCGGCCACACUGGGACUGAGACACGGCCCAGACUCUACGGGAGGCAGCAGUGGGGAAUAUUGCACAAUGGGCGAAAGCCUGAUGCAGCAACGCCGCGUGAGGGAUGACGGCCUUCGGGUUGUAAACCUCUUUUGGUAGGGAAGAAGCUUCGGGUGACGGUACCUGCAGAAAAAGCGCCGGCUAACUACGUGCCAGCAGCCGCGGUAAUACGUAGGGCGCAAGCGUUAUCCGGAAUUAUUGGGCGUAAAGAGCUCGUAGGCGGUCUGUCGCGUCUGCUGUGAAAUCCCGAGGCUCAACCUCGGGCUUGCAGUGGGUACGGGCAGACUAGAGUGCGGUAGGGGAGAUUGGAAUUCCUGGUGUAGCGGUGG
rnacentral:rRNA from 1 species